UAGUAAUGCACCCUAGUAAUUUAGUGUGUGCUAGUGCAUGGUAGCAUGGUGCACAUGUGUAGAUUUUCUACACAUUUUAGGUUUCCUUAUUUUAGAUUUAAUUGAGUAAUUUAUUUAUAAAAAAAAAAAGAAGAAAAGAAAAGGGAAAUGAGGAGUGGGCGUGUGACCUAGUGGGAAUGGAAUAUUUCCUUAAAAUGGUAAAAAAAUCAAGACUUGAAGACCAUGAUCAUUUGGGGAUAGGCAUGAUCAUAUCUUAUCCCUUUGUAUCUUUUUGAAAUAAAGAAAAAUCAAGGAAAAUAAAAGAGAAAUAGAAACUUACCUUAAUAUUGUUUGGGGAGACUUUAUGAGAGGAUUUGUGAUAAAGGGGCUAAGAAAGGAGAGAAGAGCCAUUGCUCUUGUGUGUGUGUGUGGCUGCCGUGACCUAGAGAGAGAGUGGCGUGUAGAGAGAGAGAGAGAGAGAGGAAGAAAGAAAGAAAGGAAGAAGGAAGAAGAAAGUGAAGAGGAACCCCCCUAGAGCUUGAACAAGGGUGUGGAGUUUGUGGUAUUGAUCUUUUGUGUUCUUGAUUCUACAAUCAAGAGAGGUAGCAAAUAGGAUUUCUCUAUGGCACGCGUGGUGACGUGAGGAGUUCUUCAUCAUGGGGUGUAUGGCGUGGGGCAAUCCUAUGGACGAUAAAACGAUCAACGUAGAACGCCAUUUAAAUUAUGUUUCGUUUUAAGGGACUUUUUCCUAAAUUAUCAGUGGGACUUUGUUAUUUAACUUAAUUGGUUUUCUUUGAACUUUGCAUAAAAACCUAUGUUUUAUUUUAAACUUAUGGCGCCAACUUGCAUGAUUUUAAAUAAGUCCCCCUGAGACUUUAAUAAUGGAUGGUAUUCUUU